rnacentral:rRNA from 1 species
GACGAACGCUGGCGGCGUGCUUAACACAUGCAAGUCGAGCGGUAAGGCCCUUUCGGGGGUACACGAGCGGCGAACGGGUGAGUAACACGUGGGUGACCUGCCCUCAGCUCUGGGAUAAGCCUGGGAAACCGGGUCUAAUACCGGAUAUGACUCCAUGACGCAUGUUGUGGGGUGGAAAGCCUUGUGCGGCUGAGGAGUGGGCCCGCGGCCUAUCAGCUUGUUGGUGGGGUGAUGGCCUACCAAGGCGACGACGGGUAGCCGGCCUGAGAGGGCGACCGGCCACACUGGGACUGAGACACGGCCCAGACUCCUACGGGAGGCAGCAGUGGGGAAUCUUGCGCAAUGGGCGAAAGCCUGACGCAGCGACGCCGCGUGA